GAACGCACAUUGCGCCCGCUGGUAUUCCAGCGGGCAUGCCUGUUCGAGCGUCAUUUCAACCCUCAAAACUUCGGUUUUGGUGUUGGAGGACUACGCUGUAAAACGCGUAGCCUCCCAAAUUCAGUGGCGGGCUCGCUAGAAUUUUGAGCGUAGUAAUCUAUACCUCGUUUGUAAAGACUAGUGAUGUUUCUUGCCGUAAAACCCCCAACUUUCUGAAAAUUGACCUCGGAUCAGGUAGGAAUACCCGCUGAACUUAAG
rnacentral:misc_RNA from 1 species